rnacentral:rRNA from 1 species
AGGCAGCAGUGAGGAAUAUUGGUCAAUGGGCGUAAGCCUGAACCAGCCAAGUCGCGUGAGGGAUGAAGGUUUAUGGAUCGUAAACCUCUUUUAUAAGGGAAUAAGUGUGGGACGUGUCCUAUUUUGUAUGUACCUUAUGAAUAAGGAUCGGCUAACUCCGUGCCAGCAGCCGCGGUAGUACGGAGGAUCCGAGCGUUAUCCGGAUUUAUUGGGUUUAAAGGGUGCGUAGGCGGCCUUUUAAGUCAGCGGUGAAAGUCUGUGGCUCAACCAUAGAAUUGCCGUUGAAACUGGGGGGCUUGAGUAUGUUUGAGGCAGGCGGAAUGCGU